rnacentral:rRNA from 1 species
AAUGAACGUUGGCGGCGUGGAUUAGGCAUGCAAGUCGAGCGAGAAUUUGCGAUUGGAAGCUUCGGCCGAAGAAAGUGAAGGAAAGCGGCAAACGGCGUAGUAAGGCGUAGGUACGUACCCUCGGGUCGGGAAUAGCCAUGGGAAACUGUGGGUAAUGCCCGAUAAUCUCUGCGGAGCAAAGGUGUGAUUCCGCCGGAGGAGCGGCUUACGUGAUAUUAGCUAGUUGGUGGGGUAAUGGCCUACCAAGGCAACGAUGUCUAGGGGGUGUGAGAGCAUGGCCCCCACGACCGGAACUGAGACACUGUCCGGACACCUACGGGUGGCUGCAGUCGAGAAUCUUCCGCAAUGGGCGAAAGCCUGACGGAGCGACGCCGCGUGGUGGAUGAAGGCCCUUGGGUUGUAAACACCUGUCAGAGGGGAUGAAAUCAUGGUUGGCAAUCCUUCCAUGUUGACAGAGCCUCAGAGGAAGCACGGGCUAAGUACGUGCGAGCAGCCG